rnacentral:lncRNA from 1 species
CCUGGAUAGAGCUGGAGACCAUUUAACUGCUGUAUGAAUAAUAGAUAAGCGUCUUGAAUAACAUCUGAAUUUCCUAGUUGUCAUGUCAACCCUCCUAUCUGCGGGUUUUGCAUCUGCAAGCACAUGCAGCUGGAAAGUACAGCAUUGGCAGAAUCUGAAACCCGAGUAAAGAGCACCUCAUUUUCAUAACCAUGGGUUCUGAAGAGCUAAGGGAGUUGAGGAUGCACCGAUUUUGGUAUGGGGGUACGGUACAGGUACAAAUCCCCGAUGGAUAUCACUAGACAACUGUACAAUCCUCUUUAGCUUUUUUUUUGUUUUAUAGACAGUGUGGACGUGCAUAUAUUGCAAGCAUCACUUUGUUAAACUAUGCUUAACCCUGCAAAUGAUUUUAAGAGCUCUGUGUGGGUGGCUUUCUUGGGUUUACUAUUAAAUAUCUGUGUUUAUCAUAGUUGUUCUAUAACAUUUCAACUUUGUAAAUAUGUAGUUUGUUGAUAAAGAGGAUAGAGACAUUUUUCUUUUGUUGAUAGAUUGUUCUUUCCCCUUUGCUUAGUCUUCAUUGUGUUGCUG